UGAAGAAUCAAAUCGAUCCUCUUCAGUUCACCUGAAACUGUAAAACAGAAGAGACAAAUGAACUAUGCUAUCUCCUCCUUUCUUAUCUCUUCUCCUCGUUUAUUAAGGAGAGUCUCUCUCCAGCCGACAUCUUUUCUCGAUCUGCCUCUAUCAUACAUUUUUCUUCGGUUUACCUAUAUAUGAAGACAGGCUUGCGAAACAAACUCAUCAUCGGAAUUUUCGUCAUCAUCUCCAAAGGAAACUGCUUCAUUAAAUCGAAGAUUCGAGUGAAAAACCCCAGCUUCUGAAGUUAUACAAAAGCAAUGGAAGAGGCGAUCAAGAGUUCACAAUUUCCAUCCUAGGUAGUUGGUCGAAUACAACCAAUUGGAGACUUCCAUGUUCUGACUAUCUUCACACGGAUUGUAGGCUGCUUUUUGCCGCGAACCAAGGCAUCCAAACAGUUGUAGGGAGACAUCGUAAAGACAGGGUAAGAUGUUUAGUUCUUUGUUAUUUCUGAAUGUUUAGUAUUUAGUUUCGAGGCCAUAAUAUACAACCAAAUAUACCAUAUAUUGAUAUAAUUUACUUGGCACACACAUUUUGUGAUUAUAGAAUGUUCGUUUCAAUAUAGCAAGCCAUAUAGAAUUAUUUCCGUUAGCAUAUAAAAUAUGUAGUCUUCGUAUAUAUGAAUAUAUAAAGAAUAUACUCUAUGAUCUAUAAUUUACGCCGUUAAAAAAAAAAAAAAGAUCUAUAAUUUACUUGGCACACAAUUGAUUGCAUUUAUUAUUAACCUUGCAGGAAACUCUGAGAAUUAUUAUACAAUGGACAUAAGAAUAUUCAUUUCAGACUUAAUAAAGAUGGAGGAGUGCACAUAAGGAAGUGUGUAAAUUAGAGCCUAAAGAUAAGUGCUCUAGACCAUAGAAACGUUAAUAUACAUAAGUUGUUUUAAAUGAAUAAUAAAAUGAAAGUCUCAUUUUAAUAAUUUUUAACAAAUCGGUUAUAUUGUUUUUUUUUCAGGAAACAGUUAUCAAUAAUAUUAAAGGCCCAAAGAAAAUGAAAGCUCAAAUCAAUGUAACAAUACAACCACAACAGUGAAUACUACCACGACAGUCAAUAUCUCUUUCAUAAUGUUACGAUGCAGAGCUUAAACCUCGCGGGACAGUUGAUUAGGAACAGUAUGCAAAUCAGGAAUCUUAAUAAUGCAUCGAAUAUUAUAGACAGGGUUUAAAGCAAACCAACGAUAACCGGUGAUUUUUUAAUCUUGGAGCAAUAAGGAAGCCAAGAAUAUCACGUCCCAUGGAAAUUACACUGACGUUCGAUAGAAAAGACACUACUUAAAAAGAAUACUUACAUUAGCGUCGAUGAGUACCAUUUCAAUGGUCAGACCACCGGCGGCUGAGUACUGCCUCCAAAGACGGAUGAUCUUAACUCGGAUUCUCCACAUGGACUUGAAAGGCUUAAGCUCAGACACUGUGUUCAUAGUUAUACAAUGUAAAAUAAAUUUAGAACGUUUGUAAUUUGAUAGAGGAUGUGUUUUGAACUCCAUGUAGGCAAAUCCAUUAUAUACUAACAUUGUUUCCAAUGACGAUGGUGGACC